rnacentral:rRNA from 1 species
CCCUUAGAUGUUCUGGGCUGCACGCGCGCUACACUGAAGCGUUCAACGAGUAUUCACCUUGCCCGGGAGGGUUGGGUAAUCUUUUGAAAACGCUUCGUGAUGGGGAUAGAUUAUUGCAAUUAUUAAUCUUCAACGAGGAAUUCCUAGUAAGCGCGAGUCAUCAGCUCGUGCUGAUUACGUCCCUGCCCUUUGUACACACCGCUCGUUGCUCCUACCGAUUGAGUGAUCCGGUGAAUAAUUCGGACUGCAGCACUGCUUGGUCUCCAGGCUUUGCAGCGGAAAGUUUAGUGAACCUUAUCACUUAGAGGAAGGAGAAGUCGUAACA